rnacentral:rRNA from 1 species
CCUACGGGUGGCAGCAGUGAGGAAUAUUGGUCAAUGGGCGGGCGCCUGAACCAGCCAAGUCGCGUGAGGGAAGACUGCCCUAUGGAUUGUAAACCUCUUUUGGCGGGGAGCAAUGCCGGGCACGUGUGCCCGGAGGGAGAGUACCCGCAGAAUAAGGAUCGGCUAACUCCGUGCCAGCAGCCGCGGUAAUACGGAGGAUCCGAGCGUUAUCCGGAUUUAUUGGGUUUAAAGGGAGCGUAGACGGGUUGUUAAGUCAGUUGUGAAAGUUUGCGGCUCAACCGUAAAAUUGCAAGUGAUACUGGCAGUCUUGAGUACAGUAGAGGUAGGCGGAAUGCGUGGUGUAGCGGUGAAAUGCUUAGAUAUCACGAAGAACCCCGAUUGCGAAGGCAGCUUACUAAACUGUGACUGACAUUGAUGCUCGAAAGUGUGGGUAUCAAACAGGAUUAGAUACCCUUGUAGUC